UCGUCCGCAUCCGCACAGUCGACAACCCCUAGUAUCCCCGAGUCAACCCCGGAAGGUAGCACGAAGUUACGCGCGUCUUCCACGGGUUUUAGGUCACUUAGGCGGGUUUAGCUGCCAGGUUCAAAGGGUUGGGACGCGUCGUUCUCGACGUAUCUUGUCCUCGACUGUCACCGCGUUUCCGCCCGGUGACAUCCGCGUGGAAUCAUCUGUCGAGGAUGAGGACGACGGAGUCACCCCGCAGCAACGUGGCUUCGGAGAGGAUUCGAUUCCUCCGUCUUGUCUUCGAAGGAGGGUUUCCUCGAGUAAAGAAGCAAAGGUUUGAUCGCGUAGAUUCCAUCAUUUCGCCUUUCGCCAGUUCGCUGGCACCACGUUGCACCGCGAGACCGUUCUCUUCGAGUAAUUUGAUGGGAUUUUUAGGGUGGAAGGGAUUAAACUGUUGAAGGAAUUUAUUUAACCGAGGCCAUGUUUCUGUUAAAUUAUAAUAUAAUAUAUUUGAAUAAGAUUUUCCGCAAGCAUCAUGUGCUGCGGGCACAAUAUAUCCUCUGUACAAAUAACUCUCGGACAGGAAAUUAAAUAAUUGCUUGUUAUAUUCUCACGUAAAGAUAACAAAGAGAGAGAAAAUAGCUUUUUGCUGGGAUUGUAUUUUCUCCACGUGAAAACUCUGUAAGAUCGCUCUGGAGAUUCGCGAUUAUCUGAUUGUGUAAUGGUCGCCAGGAUCCUCGAAAUUUUCUCUUUGAACAUUCCGUGAGAAUCAAGGGAUUUUCGCGCUCUCGAUGAUCAAGUUUCCGCCAAGUGACAUCCUACGUAGAAUCCGUUGAAGGUAAUAGGAAACGAGGCCGGCUCACCUUGCUGCAAUGCAAUCGCGGAAUAGUUGAGUUUCCUUUUAUUUAGUUGAGGAUUUUAAGGGGGAAAGACAGUAGAAAAGUUUCCAUAGUCGAGUUUCUGUCAGGCGACACCAGCGUGUGGAUUCAGUCGUUCGGGCUAAAGCAAAAAGGGUUGGCAUUCUUCUCGCAGUAAGUUGUUAUCAUGUUUAUUAGUUCGCCGUUUGUCUUGGCAAGUUAGGAAAGAGUCGAAUAUCAUAGAUCGCUUUCCGAGUUUUAGUAAAUUAUUCUACAUACGAUAAUUUCACUAUCGAUUAAAAGUUCAUCCUGUAACGGCAUGUUCGUUCGAUUGAGAAAAUCAGUUAUUACAGCUAGACAAUUUUGUAUUAUCGUAUUAUCGUAUUAUGCCGUAUCGAUGUACAAUAUGCAAUCUUUCACUCUAAAUUCUAUAGAAAAUUAUUUUCAGUACUCGUGCAAAAUUGCUGUUGUACGACUAUCGUAGCAGAAAUUUCAGGAAACUAACGAAAUAAAUAAUCUGUUUAAUAAGAGAUUUUUGAUAAAUGCGAUUAUAUUAUUUCCGCCGUUAGAUCUCUCAUACAUUUUCCACCGCUGUUGCAUCAUCCCCAUUAUAUCAUCAGUAAUCCGCGUGUAUCGCGGGCAAAGCACGUGAACGCGCUCACGGGCAUUAAUUAAAUUCUUCUGCCGGCGCGGCCGAGUUUCCACGAGUGUCGCAACGCAUUCGUUAUUCGCCCCCGCAACGAUUGUAUAUCGUCGCCUCGUUUGUCUUCGAAUGACCCGGCGUUGACGGUGGCACCUGUCCGUGUGUCAUGCGGGUGCAUACACGUCACGUGGGCACGCUGGUUGUCGUUGCGUAGAUAGAUUGCACGUGACAGCUCGGCUUCCUGACGAUCGGCGGCGUUCAGCGAAAAGUGGGGUCAUCGUGCUUUAAACUGUGCGCCGUGGAAACGUCGUCGUGGCACGCUUUGUCCCCGGUUGGUCGCGAUCGCGAUCGAAUCAGAUCCACCAGCCGUCGUCGUCGCCGGAUCGACCGCCAACCGCCACGCUGCAAGUCCGACCUGCGAGGAAUCAUCGUUCACCCCUGGUGCAUCCUGGAUGGCUAGAGUCGACGACAAUUUGAAGGAUCCUUCGGACACCUCGCGGCGUUUCUUCACCUGUGUCGGCUCGCAGUUCCGCGUAACUCAAUUCCCGCAGACUGGUGAGUACAGACGAAUUUUUAUAACCGUGGAAUUCAAUAGAAUUCAUUCAAAGCGUGUUGCAUGCGGGGGUAAAACACUUGCGGAAUUGUUGCGCAACGUGAUUCGAUCGAGAAAUCAUUGAUUUGAUAACGCACGGUCUCUUCUGGAAACGUCUUACGGACGAACGAAUUAGACGAGAGAGAUAAAGCGACGCUGCACGAGCAAGAUGCAGGAAACGCAAGGUAAAGUCUCAAACAGUAGGACGAUAGCUACAUGGUGGGCGGAAUUUUAUUUACGGAGAAUGUGGGGUUACAACGGGGAGGAUUGGAGACCACCACCCAGCUCGCUGUCUCGUAAUGGAGGAAGACGGGCCGCAACCUUUUCCAAUUACAGGCACGAGAUUGUGUCGUAGCGCGGUAUCGGACCGGGCGACCAGACCCGCCUGGCUUUAAAAGUGCCCGUGGAAGUAAUUAAGAAUUCGCGAAAUAAAAAAUCUAUCCCGACUACGACACAUUUUUCGCGGUGGGUUUAGGAGGAUCCUCUCACGAUCUUCUCCUGCUUCUUGCUUCUCAUAGUUCCGCGAGCGGCAUUAAUAUAUUAUUCAAAAAAUAAGGUGGUGGAAAAAUGCACCUGAUUAUUGCAAAGUUUGACGAUUUGUAUUGUAAUAUUUAAUUAAAAGUCAAUAAUUUAAUUUGUGGUCGCGUAGAUAAUUUUCCAUAGAUUGUUGUCUUCUGGAUUUGAAUUUUUAUCGCUUUUGGUUUUAUAUAGAAAUAUUUCAGUCGUUGAUAUCCGUUCCGAUUAACUAUCUUGGUGUCUCUUGAAAGAGAUAAAGUUAACAAUACAAUAUAAGCUUAUUUAAGUAGCGUGAAUGGUCCUUGAAAAUUGAGAUCCAAAUUUGAUACGAGCCUCACGGACACGAAAUGGUCCGUUAAGCGAUAGUAGCGCGAUAAAAUGAAUUUCGGCUCUUUCGCGAUCGCUUCGAUUCCUAUUCAAGGGGUCCUUAUUCUCCCUCAGAAACGUAGAAUCGUCUGCGUGGUCUCUGGAAGUCGGCAAAGUUUUAUUGGUCGAAGCUCCGUACGUGAUCGGAAUAGAAAUCGCUGCACCUUGAUCGCGCGGCCGCGGAUCACUUUACGGGUGUGUAAAAGCGACGAUAUAAUGUAAAGCCUUUCUCGAACAAAUUAAAUGCGGCGGAGAAAUGUGUUUUUAGCGAGGCAAAUUAAAAAUGCAAAUCUUCUGCAACACUCCGCGCCAGUAAUAUUUAUUUACUCGACGCGGCUACAAUAUCUUUAGAAGUAUUUUUGUUUCUCGAUUAAUAUAACACGAAGAUUUAAUAUACACAGUCACAUACAAUGAUUUCAAACAUGUAGCUCGAUAUCAUUAAAUAAUAUGUUGUUUUACAAGAUUCCCAAUUUUAUUUUUAAAUAGUGUCCCUUUAGUUGCACGGCUAAUGCCGUUACAGAGGGCUGCAAUUUGCCGGGGGUGCGCCGUUCGGGAAUAAUUAUUCGGGCGCAAGUUCGUGGAAAGACUCCACCUCGAUUCACCGAGUUUCUUCGACGGCAAACAUGUCACGAUGAAUUUUCCGAUAUCGUCGGGGAUGUGCUCGAGUUACGUGCAACCGGUGAGGUCGUAAUUUCAAUUAGUAAACACAAUUACUGGCCAAUUACCGACGAGCCGUCUGGCCAGCCGGUGGUGGCCACGGUAGCCCUUGAUUGCUUGACUUGGUGCUCUCUCUCCGCGGUGCAUUUUGUUACAGCGUGCGCUCGUGGAACAGCCAAAAUACCCUUCUUACGCGCCGAAAGUUUUCCGACUCGUUUCGCAUUUUCCGUGCCUGCAAACCAGGAGAAAACUCAAUUUCACCUGCGAGUAAUUGAAGAUACCCUGCAGGAGUUCAAAAGGAAUUGUAAUUUCAGAUUAGAUUAAACAGAGAGGGACACACGCACUCACGCAUACAUGCGGAGAUAUCAAUAAUGAGUAAUCGGGUAUCUAAUGUACGGCACGUUCGUUAACCCUGCGAGAUACCACACCUACUUUCCAGUCACGCAAACGACAGCGCAAAUUUCUCCAGGCACUUUCCUCCUCGCGUUACAACUUCAACUGGUAUUUUCACUUGGCGAACAUAAAUCGAUACGUUUCUCGCGGAAAGAUUGCAGCAGCAACAGGCCACAUACAUACAUACAUACGCAGAAAGUUGAGCUUCACAAGUUGUACACCGUUAAAAAUUGUGCGUCCAUAUGUUAAAAUUUUCUUGUGUUGCCAUGUUUUGAUUACUACUUCAAUGUA